GUGGGGAAUAUUGGACAAUGGGCGCAAGCCUGAUCCAGCCAUACCGCGUGGGUGAAGAAGGCCUUCGGGUUGUAAAGCCCUUUUGUUGGGAAAGAAAUCCUGUCGGUUAAUACCUGGCGGGGAUGACGGUACCCAAAGAAUAAGCACCGGCUAACUUCGUGCCAGCAGCCGCGGUAAUACGCAGGGUGCAAGCGUUACUCGGAAUUACUGGGCGUAAAGCGUGCGUAGGUGGUGGUUUAAGUCCGUUGUGAAAGCCCUGGGCUCAACCUGUGAAUUGCAGUGGAUACUGGAUCACUAGAGUGUGGUAGAGCGAUGCGGAAUUUCUGGUGUAGCAGUGAAAUGCGUAGAGAUCAGAAGGAACAUCCGUGGCGAAGGCGACAUCCUGGGCCAACACUGACACUGAGGCACGAAAGCGUGGGGAGCAAACAGGAUUAGAUACCCGGGUAGUCC
rnacentral:rRNA from 1 species